GAAGUGUGGACGCCAGUCUGCACGGAGCCAUCCUUGAAAUACCACCCUUUAACGUUUGAUGUUCUAACCCGGGUCCAUAAUCUGGAUCGGGGACCGUGUCUGGUGGGUAGUUUGACUGGGGCGGUCUCCUCCCAAAGAGUAACGGAGGAGCACGAAGGUUGGCUAAGCAUGGUCGGACAUCAUGCGGUUAGUGCAAAGGCAUAAGCCAGCUUGACUGCGAGAGUGACGGCUCGAGCAGGUACGAAAGUAGGUCUUAGUGAUCCGGUGGUUCUGAAUGGAAGGGCCAUCGCUCAACGGAUAAAAGGUACUCCGGGGAUAACAGGCUGAUACCGCCCAAGAGUUCAUAUCGACGGCGGUGUUUGGCACCUCGAUGUCGGCUCAUCACAUCCUGGGGCUGAAGUAGGUCCCAAGGGUAUGGCUGUUCGCCAUUUAAAGUGGUACGCGAGCUGGGUUUAGAACGUCGUGAGACAGUUCGGUCCCUAUCUGCCGUGGGCGCUGGAAGAUUGAGAGGGGUUGCUCCUAGUACGAGAGGACCGGAGUGAACGCACCACUGGUGUACGGGUUGUGAUGCCAAUUGCAUUGCCCGGUAGCUAAGUGCGGAAGAGAUAACCGCUGAAAGCAUCUAAGCGGGAAACUUGCCUCGAGAUGAGUCUUCCCUGA
rnacentral:rRNA from 1 species